rnacentral:rRNA from 1 species
GAUGAACGCUGGCGGCGUGCCUAAUACAUGCAAGUCGAGCGAACAGAUGAGGAGCUUGCUCCUCUGACGUUAGCGGCGGACGGGUGAGUAACACGUGGAUAACCUACCUAUAAGACUGGGAUAACUUCGGGAAACCGGAGCUAAUACCGGAUAAUAUAUUGAACCGCAUGGUUCAAUAGUGAAAGACGGUUUUGCUGUCACUUAUAGAUGGAUCCGCGCCGCAUUAGCUAGUUGGUAAGGUAACGGCUUACCAAGGCAACGAUGCGUAGCCGACCUGAGAGGGUGAUCGGCCACAUGGGAACUGAGACACGGUCCAGACUGCUACGGGAGGCAGCAGUAGGGAAUCUUCCGCAAUGGGCGAAAGCAUGACGGAGCAACGCCGCGUGAGUGAUGAAGGUCUUCGGAUCGUAAAACUCUGUUAUUAGGGAAGAACAAAUGUGUAAGUAACUAUGCACGUCUUGACGGUAACUAAUCAGAAAGCCACGGCUAACUACGUG